rnacentral:lncRNA from 1 species
GCCUGAGGUAUAUUUUGGCACCAAAUAAAUUAUGUCGGACUGAGCUGAAAAGUGUUGUAAAGAUUGAAAAUGACACAGGCAUAGCCGCACGGCAACAAAAAAUGACUACUACACAGUGGCAGCGUGCAGUAGCAAAAUCAGUUCCGGACUUCCAGUAGAAUAGGCAGUAGCCAUUCACAACCACACCACACGUCCACAGACCACACAAUCCACACAUGCAGCAGCCUGGAGGUCGGGGAGGGCCGGACGGGCGGCCUUGGAGGCUGGGAGGGGAUACCGGCAGGAGUUGCUGGAGCCUGGAGCCCUGGAGGGAGGUCGGGGACGGCCGGACGAGCGGCGAUCGGCGCUCGGCGGAGGGGGGAUAGAUGCAGGCCCGCCCUCGACGGGGGCGGUGGCCGGAGGCGGAGGCGACUGGGUCGGACUCGGGAGACUCGGGAGGGAUCGAGAAUCGGCGAACUUGGGAGGGAUAAAGUCGAACUGAGCCGCCAAUCGUGUUCCGGACGGUAGACUAGUGAUGGACUUCUGCGCAGUACGCGAAGAUGGACCACGAGGGUCGGGGCGCUAAGCAGUUGGGCCUGUCCUUGGCGAGCGCGACGGCCUGUUCGUGACGAGGUCGAUAACGGGCCUAACGAGCGUUCGGCAAACUUCCCGUUAAGAUCGUUAGCACUCACAAUUUCAGAUUGAUCUUCGGUUCUCUUCUUUAAUUAACGAAAGCGAGCGCUCGUUAAGAUUGUUAUGAACAAGUAAUGUGGGCGGAGAAAGUAACUGGAACCGUUAUGAACACCCCUAACCGUUACAAGAGUUGCAGCAAAUGUAGUUGGUACAGUAAAGGUGAGUAGUAAUAUUUAGUUACCGAGUAAGAGAUAAAAAUGAUGAGAACAUUGAGCAAAUCCC